AUCCUCUUAUAGUUAUUGUUUUCCUUCUGUUUCAGUUUGUAACACGGAAUUGUUUUCACUCACUUUUGAACAGUGAUAUACUACUGUUGCCUUUAUUCAUAUAUCUAUCCAGCUAGUGACUAUUAGGAUUCUAUUUACCUUUUCGAUUUUCCACAAGAAUGACCCAAAUUCAAAAUUAUAUUUCUCUUUUGCAUUUCUUACCACAAGAAUGAACAAAAAUAAAAAUUGAGAAAACAUUUUUAUUAUCAUUUUAACAAAGAAUAUAUUGUUAACAUACAGAAUGAAAUAACAUUAUUUUCUAUCACAAAAAAAAAUGUUCUAUAUGGUAUAGACAAGAACAUUAUAUAAGUUACACACACGUAAAUAUAUAAAAUUGGUUGUACCAUAAUACACUUAUACAGGAUAAGUCACAAACAUGGAAAACACAAUAUGUAAGUUCUGUCAGGAUAAUCGGAGCUCAAUUAGAUAAAAUCUUUAAACAACAGGAUCAAAUAUUUUUUGUUUGUUUACUGUUUGUUGUGAGCUAUAUGGUUAAAUGUGUUAAAGUCAGGAUUAUCAGAGCUAAAUGCUCAAUGGGAUAAAAUUAUAAAAAACAGGAUCAAAUAUGUUUUUUUUGUAUAGAUUCAUUGAGCUAUAUGGUUAAGUGUGUUAAAUUCAUAUGCAAAAUAUAAAGGGAAUUAUUUGUAAAUUUUAACUGAGAUAUAUUGCUCAAUGUAUUAUUAAUAUAUUCAAACUAUCUAGGCAAACUUUCAGUCUAUUUGUCAAAAAUCAACUGAGCUUUAUUGUGAGAAAGUUGAGAAAUUACAUAUUUAAAUAGGAAGGGACAAUAAAACAAGUCCAGGCUGUUUUGUGAUGUAUAAGUUUUUAAAAUAUAAUAAUUUAGUAUAAAUUGUAAUUGGUACAAGUUAUGAGUAUCUUAUUAAUCUCUCAAUUCUAAAUAGAAGAAGCAGUCGAGUUUUGUUUCAGCCUAAUAAUGUCAUACUUGCAAAACUACAUUCAAGACUUUAACAUAAUAUUCAUACCAGUUUUUAAUGACAUUAUAAGAUGUUUUUAUGGACUUAAAAUCUAGUAUAAUAGAAAAAAUUCUGAAGUUUGAUUUCAUGAUAUGUAAAAGAACCUCCAGAAUGGUUAAAAUGCCCCAUUUAUCGAUCAACUAUUUAUCUCCAAAAUAUAUAAAUGCCACCAAAAUGAAAAAAAAACAUAAUGGUGGGUUAUUUUCUGUUGUGAAAGUUAGUCUUAUGUUGUGAAAUUAGUCUUUGGGUAUGUUAUGAAUGAACAAUUUAAUGCUGUUAAAGUACAAUUUGAUGUUGUUAAAGUUCAAUUUUGUUGUUGAUAGAUUUACAAUUUAAUAUUGUGAAACAAUACAAUAGAACAAUGCUAUAAUCUAUAGUUUCUUUUUAAUUCAAAUUCCAAAAUAUUAGCUAUGUUUCUCCUACUGCAUCAAGUAGAAAAUUCAAGUCCAACAUAAUCAAACCUCAAUGUAGAUUGAGGAUUUACAUAGUGACUGUGAUCAGAAGUAGGAAGUUUCUCAAUUGACAUAAGUAAUCUUUGGAUUUCCUGAUUCAACUUUUUUGCAAUGCAUACAAUUUAUAGCAUAAUCUAUUGUAAAUUCAGAAAUUAUUGCAAGGUUUUUAUAAAUGCAAAUAAUGCAGCUUGACGAGUAUGGUAUUAUUGCAUUUUUAGAUCUGAUACAUAUAUUUGUAUACAGAUUUUCCUCAAAUCACAUUAGUUAUCUUAUCUUUUUGUCCAUUUUUUUUAAAUUGCAAUAAUAAAUACACACAAUAAUUUUCUGAAUUUACAGUAAUAUAAAGCAUCUAUACAUGUAUACACAUCAGAAAUGUUGUCUUUAAGCAAAAAUCUAAGAUGUUCUCUAAUUCAGUACAACUAACAUAUUAGGUAUACAAUAUUUAUUGUAUUUGGUAUCUUGUAAAACAUUGCAUUUAUAUUUCCAAUCAAGGUAAAAGGUUAAGAGUAGCUAAUAACUGUAGAACUCAAAAAUACAUUAAAAAUAAAGUUUUUUUCUGACAAGAGGAAAGUUACAGAGGUCUGGGAUUACGCACAUAGUAUAAAAGUGUUGAGCAAUAAAUACGUUUAAUUUAACCACCAUAAUAUUUAAUUAUACACUCCAGAUAUAAGUCGCAAUGUAAUUCUUAAUAUUCUACAUUCACUCCCAUUUUAAUACAUGAAAAAAUACACAUAAGCUACACAAUCUCUUUAAAAUGAGCAUGUGAACAAAAUCUGAAAGAAACGUUUUAUUGGCAUGAGGAAAUCAUUUUUCAUAAUUCUAUGGUGGUAAGAGUGUGAAUAGCUGGAAAUUAAAUUGAAUAGAUUUCUUUCUCAUUAUACUGAUAUAUAGAAUUGUGGUUAAUAUGUCAAUGAGACAGCAAGCAAACAUCACAAAUUAUAUUCACCAAUUUUGAAUUUUUUUUUGUCAACUGUAUAAACCCGUUAACCUUUGAACACUGCUCCAGUACUGACUGUAAAUAAAACAGGACUUUGAUCAAGCAGUUUGCACUGUAUCAUGUAAGAACACACAUUAAAGCACUGACAGGCUUAAACAUAUUCUCUAUUUAUAGUCCAAUUGUUAUUUUCCUUCAACAUAUUGGUUCCAUAUACUUAAAUACAGCAAACUACAAGAGCAUUCAUGUGAUACAUUUAAAAUAAAUUAUAUUUUAGAUGUAACAGGUCUUCUGAUUGGCUAAAAGAUGUUUUCUAUCAGCUCAAAGACAUAUUUUUGUCAUCUUACCAAAUAUCAUGUCAUUAACGUUUUUUUCCUUAAAACUUGAAUUUAAAAUUAAAUAAUAAGGAAUCACAGUUAUAUUUUUUCUGUCUUUUUGUUUAAUGUGUACCACGUUUUUGAUGUUAUUCAUUCAUAGACAAAACAAAAUAUUACAGUCAUGCAAUAAUAAUCUGAACUUUAUGUGUCCGUCAUAACCUGAGAUACAGAAAUUAAAUUAUUUUUAUUCAUCAAAAUAUUCUUUCAGUUGCUUAACACAUCACCAUUAUCUAUUUUGUAUAAUGUGACAUAUUUUAUUGCACAAUAUGAUUAAACUUAUUUAUAUAUAGUACAGUCAAAGUCCUGGUUAAAAUAAAAUCCUACCAAACACUAAGUCAACAUUAUUCAAAAGUUUAAUACAUUUAAAAUAAAUACCUUUGACCAAUCAAGUGGAAAGAACAGUUUAAAAACAAUUCUAUCUUGCCAAACCCCUUUUCCCAUAAUUCUCAAAUUUUACUUAAAAGUUUUUUGGUUUUUUUAGCACAAUUGGGAAAAAAUUUCCACAUAAAAGUGUGGUCUUACUAUCAUUAACCCCUCCCCCCCAGCAAGUUCCAAGGUACACUAGUUUAACUUUAAUCCAAAAUUAUAACUAAAUUAUUAACCGAACUUUCCAAGUCAAAUUUUUUGUAUGUUUUGUUUCAGCUAAAUGUUUUAAGAGUAAGGCAAAUAGAAUGAAAAUUUUAACACACUGACAAAAUUAAAUCUAAACAAUUUAUUUAUUUAUAAUACUCAAAACAAAUAAAACUCAAUUAUUAACAAAUAUGCAUCUAUAAGUUUAUUUUUAGUUCUAGACUCUUAACUUUCAUGUGUUUUAAGUCAUAACAAAACGAGACUUUUCUUCAGGAGUUACCCACCCUUUUUGAUAUAAAUAGUGCAUUUUCUGCCAUUAAUAUUUUUGAAAUACCACUUUUGUAAAAUGUAAAAAUAAAUUUAGCUCAUAUAGCAAAUAUUUCACUCAAAUUAACUUAAACUUUAUAAAUUUAAUGCAAGGUCUGUGCUGUAUUGACCUCAACCAAGAAUGCUUAAACCAGAACCAUUAAAAGCUAAGAGUGUUCAAAAUUUUGAAACCAAUUCAGAAGACAUAUGACAAAAGGCAUCAAAAAUGUGUUUAAUCCAUCUAAAGUUGCAGAGCAUGUUAUAAUUUUAGUUUCUUCAUAUAAUUUCUGCAUUUAUAUAAGAAUAGAAUUUACAAGGGUAUGUUGUACCAAAGCUCUGACUUUUGUGUUGAUGAUAGCAUUAGCAGUUCAUAUACAACAGUACUGGACCAGUGCUAGAACUUUAUAAAACUUGGUUUAAGAUAAAUAUCCACAAAGAUAAACCACUACCCUGGUUGUUUUGAUAUCUGAUUAACGAAUUAAUAUAUCUAAAAAAAAAAAACAAGAUAUAAAAAAUGUUGAUCUUAAUGUAAAAAGUGAGAAGUUCUAUAUAACUUGUAUUAAU
rnacentral:lncRNA from 1 species